AAAAUAAAAAAUCUAUCAUGGUUCUUUUUUUAAUUUAUUUUAUUAAAUCGGAUCAUGGAAUUGGAUCUUUUCAAAAGAUUUCAUUAUCCUUUGAUGAUCUUAAAUUUGUGUUAUAUGGCUAUAUAUAAACUGAACCAAAACGAGCAAUUAUUUAUAAUUUAUCUCAUUUAGUGAUGUUUUAUUAAGCUAAAUAUGAUUAUUGGUAUUUAAUAUAUCUUCAAAAUCAUAAACAUAUUUUAA
rnacentral:misc_RNA from 1 species